GGGGGGGGGGGGCGGGGGGGGGGGGGGGUGGGGGGGGGGGGGGAGGGCGCUGGUGGGGUGGGGUGCGGGGGUGGCGAACGGGUGAGUAACACGGGGGUAACCUGCCCUUGACGUUGGGAUCGCUUCAGGUAACUGGGGCUAAUGCCGGAUAGGAGCUCCGGCUGCGUGGUGGGGGUUGGACAGUUUCGGCGGGUGGGGAUGGACUCGCGGCUUAUCAGCUUGUUGGUGGGGUAGUGGCUUACCAAGGCUUUGACGGGUAGCCGGCCUGAGAGGGUGACCGGCCACAUUGGGACUGAGAUACGGCCCAGACUCCUACGGGGGGCAGCAGUGGGGAAUAUUGCACAAUGGGCGGAAGCCUGAUGCAGCAACGCCGCGUGCGGGAUGACGGCCUUCGGGUUGUAAAACGCUUUCGCCUGUGACGAAGCGUGAGUGACGGUAAUGGGUAAAGAAGCACCGGCUAACUACGUG
rnacentral:rRNA from 1 species